GGACAUGUUGCCCGGGCUCAGGAGAUUGUUUUCAGCAGCUUCCGAGGGUCCCAACAAAGCUGCCAUGUCCGUGACUCUUCACGAGCAUCGUAAAUCCCGCACCAGCACAGGCUCCAUGAACAUCUCAUUGUUCCACAAGCCCUCACAUCCCGACAGCGUCCUCACCCACCUGAACACCAUGAGGAAGCAGUGUCUGUUCACUGAUGUCACCUUGUGGGCCGGAGAACGUUCCUUCCCCUGCCACAGGGCCGUCUUGGCGGCAUGCAGCCGGUAUUUUGAGGCCAUGUUUAGUGGAGGGCUGCGAGAAAGUCUGGACAGCGAUGUCAAUUUUAGAGACACUAUACAUCCUGAGGUUUUGGAACUUCUGCUGGACUUUGCCUAUUCCUCUCGAGUCAUCAUAAAUGAGGAGAAUGCUGAGUCACUCUUAGAGGCCGGUGACAUGCUGCAGUUUCACGACAUCCGAGACGCAGCGGCAGAGUUUUUGGAGAAGAACCUGCACUCGUCCAACUGCCUGGGGAUGAUGCUGCUCUCGGACGCCCAUCAGUGCAAACGUCUGUACGAGCUGUCGUGGAGGAUGUGUCUGUUACACUACGAGACGGUUGGAGAAUCUGAGGAUUUCUACAGUCUGUCUAAAGAUAAACUGCUGGAGCUGAUUCUCAGUGAUGAACUGGAAAUAGAAGACGAGCAGAUUGUGUUUAACUCUAUGAUGCGUUGGGUUCGUUAUGACUUGGAGGUGCGACGCCAUCAUCUACCAGAGCUGCUGAGGGGCAUCAGGUUGGCUCUUCUGCCGUCUGAAUGUCUCCUGGAGGCUGUGGCAUGUGAGGAGCUGGUCAUGGCCGACAAGAGGAGCAGGUCAAUAGUAGAGGAAGCAAUGCAGUGUAAAAAGAGAAUCCUUCAGAAUGAUGGAGUAGUGACCAGUCCCUGUGCACGGCCACGGAAAGCAGGACACACGCUGCUCAUACUGGGAGGCCAGACCUUUAUGUGCGACAAGAUAUAUCAGGUGGACCAUAGCGCUAAAGAGAUCAUCCCCAAGGCAGACCUGCCCAGCCCCAGGAAGGAGUUCAGUGCGUGUGCCAUCGGCUGUAAGGUUUACGUGACGGGAGGAAGAGGGUCAGAGAACGGCGUGUCCAAAGAUGUCUGGAUCUAUGACACGGUCCAUGAGGAGUGGUCCAAAGGAGCGCCCAUGCUGAUAGCCAGGUUUGGCCACGGUUCAGCUGAACUGGAAAACAGUCUGUACGUGGUGGGAGGUCACACAGCCAUAGCUGGAGUGUUUCCCGCUUCUCCGUCCGUCUCCCUGAAGCAGGUCGAGCGCUAUGACCCUGUCAGUAAUAAAUGGACUAUGAUGGCUCCACUGAGAGACGGGGUCAGUAAUGCAGCUGUGGUCAGUGCCAAACUCAAACUCUUUGUUUUUGGUGGUGCCACGAUACACAGAGACAAGGUGUCCAAGGUGCAGUGCUAUGACCCUGUGGGAAACCGCUGGAACAUUGCAGCUGAAUGCCCCCAGCCGUGGCGCUACACAGCGGCUGCCGUCUUAGGGAGCCAGAUCUUCAUCAUGGGCGGCGACACUGAAUUCACUGCUGCCUCUGCUUAUCGCUUUGACUGUGAAACCAACCAGUGGACUCGAGUGGGUGAUAUGACGUCCAAACGAAUGAGCUGCCACGCUGUGGCCUCAGGAAAUAAGCUGUAUGUGGUCGGAGGGUACUUCGGGACACAGCGGUGUAAAACAUUAGACUGCUACGACCCCACGUCGGACAGCUGGAACUCCAUCACUACGGUGCCUUACUCACUGAUCCCCACUGCCUUCGUCAGCACAUGGAAACACCUGCCUGCCUGAUGCUGGCCCACACCAGGAGCUGCUGCUUCAGUCCCUCUUUUCAUUUUAGAGAAUCCAACCUGCAUUUUAUACCAGUGUCCCCUUUACUGAGGCACCAGCAGUGAAUGAAGUGCACCUUAGCUUUGUGCCUGUGUCACCACAUGGCGUAUGUCAUGAAAGCUCCUCAGACGUACAGCAUCCGUCUAGUUUCUGGUUGUGCAGUGACAGUUCUAGAAGCUGGCAUUCAACUAAACUACUCCCAGCUGCUGAUGCUGUGUUCAGGAUCUGGUGUCCACUGAGAGACGACGACUGGCUUGAGGAGACUCUGGUUCCACACAGGACCAACUGCAACACACUGAGAUAAAGCAACAGCCGCACAGACAGAUUCACUAAAUGACGCUUCUACUCAAAUGCACAUUUUGAGGAACAGAUAAUGCUUGUGCAGUCUCAACUUUGAGUUUGUGUGUUUUCUUGUCCUGUUGUUCUAAACCAGUUCUCCUUGUUUGGCUGAUAAUUAGCCAAACGAAGAAAAAGAAAUGCUCCUUUAAGACCAAAUAUGUUCCUUUGGGUGACAAAGGAAUGAUGAUACAUAUGAAACAUGGCCAGUAGUAAUAUGCAUUCUGCCAACUGAAUAGUUGUUAUAAUUGUAACUAUGGAGGGCUCUGCGCCUCACCAGCCAUGAACCUCACCGUCACUGGGAUAAUUAGUUUCCUGUGGCUGGUGGGGAAUGAUUUGAUUUGGUGGGGUACGGUGUCAUAGGGUUCACUUACAUAUGUUGUUGAUGUAGUGACAGUGUUUCUCACUGGAGUUGUGUCGUAGUUCUUGUUUGUUGGCUCGUCAGAGGCUCCUCAGCAGGUGACUGAGGAUAAACUGUAUAUGAGCCUUGGGUUUCCAGCUGUGUGUACAGUAUUUGCUGUUAACAGGCUUUUUAAAGAUGGGGAACAAAAGACAUUUGAACCAUACGAGCUGAGGGCAUGAAUGUUCUGGAUAAGUUGAAGGAUGAUGAACAUAGAGAAGCUGUAGUUUAAUGUUGAUGCAAAUGAAGGAUCAACACUUUGUUCUACUUCAAGUCAACAGUUCUCUUGUUGGUUCCAGUGUUGACCUGGAUUUCGAUUGGGCCGUUCUCAAACCCCACAGUCAAAUGUUACUUACUUUUGCCUAUUUUUGAGUGCCAAAGUAUCGAGACCUUUGCUGCUGAGUGUUUUCCAUGAAGUCAAACUGCACGUAACGUUACGAUGCACGUGUCUGUUCAACAUCCCACAUGAACAUGUAUUUGUAUGUGCAGCUGGGUUUUAGUCCACGAAGCUCCGAUCAAAUGCUGAAACCAUCACUGCCAAAGUACACACGCCGACUGUAUGGUUAUGAACAGUCUUUAGCAUCGUCUCCUGUCACUGUGCAUCAGCGGCUUCCUCUCGUCAUGGAUGACACAGUAGCCUGGUUCCUCGCUGGAGUUGAUUUGCAUUAAGCUGCCGGGAGGAGAUAGUGUCCAAAUCACCGUGUUGACUCACUUUGGGGAGUUGUAUUUUAGCUAAGACACAAAUGCUCCGAAAUACUCUGAACUUGUUUUUUUAGAUUUUUGAAAUGAUUUAAAAAAAGGACUAAAUGUGACAUUUGUCUUGGUGGUAACAAUAAACACUGAUCCACUUUUUGAACUGUCAUAUGCAAAGGUUUGUUGUGCUGUUCUUUUAUCCUCCUCUUAAUAAUCUCACUACAAACAACAAGUAUUAGUAUUUGAGAAAUAUAGCUUAUAUAACUUAUCUUUGUGAAAAAACACCCGGCCAACACUGAGCAACGACUCAGCUGCUGGUGCAGUAGAGGAGCAGCAACGUGUCAUAGUUUUUUGCUUCAGUCUCAUCGUGGUGGUGGAAUCUUGGCCUGUUCUACAACAGCUUUGUUUAGUUCAUUCAGAUUUUGUGGACCUUUGUUUCACAGCUAUAAUAUCGCUCAAUCAUUAGAAUAUCUAAAGCAUUUGAUUUAUUAAAUCCUGUUUCAUCGUCUUGACCCAGACCAAAGAAAACACAAAGACGAGGACAGAUAAAUAAAUCUUUAUUAUUCAUUUAAAAAUCCACAGGUAUCAAUACUUUGGAUGUACAUAAUAUAUUUACAACAUUUUGAUGUUCUGCCCUUUUUUCUUAAUACAUAAAAUGAGACAAAUACACUUUGUACCUUCUGUAAUUAGUACAAGUACAAUUAGGAUGCUCCAACAUGUUAAAACUGUUAAAA